UCCCUGAUGGUCUAGUGGUCAGAAUUCGGUACUCUCACCGCUGUGCCCCGGGUUCGAUUCCUGGUCAGGGAA